CCUACGGGGUGCUGCAGUGGGGAAUAUUGGACAAUGGGCGAAAGCCUGAUCCAGCCAUGCCGCGUGUGUGAAGAAGGCCUUCGGGUUGUAAAGCACUUUCAGUGGGGAAGAAAGCCUUGGGGCUAAUACCCUCGAGGAAGGACAUCACCCACAGAAGAAGCACCGGCUAACUCCGUGCCAGCAGCCGCGGUAAUACGGAGGGUGCGAGCGUUAAUCGGAAUUACUGGGCGUAAAGCGCGCGUAGGCGGUCUGAUAAGCCGGUUGUGAAAGCCCCGGGCUCAACCUGGGAACGGCAUCCGGAACGGUCAGGCUAGAGUGCAGGAGAGGAAGGUAGAAUUCCCGGUGUAGCGGUGAAAUGCGUAGAGAUCGGGAGGAAUACCAGUGGCGAGGGCGGCCUUCUGGACUGACACUGACGCUGAGGUGCGAAAGCGUGGGUAGCAAACAGGAUUAGAUACCCGAGUAUC
rnacentral:rRNA from 1 species